ensembl:lncRNA LINC00445 long intergenic non-protein coding RNA 445
GGUGAUGACCAACAGGAAUUUUAUGAGUGUCCCUCUGUGGAGGAGCCUGAGAGAAAGGCUCAUGGAGGGCAGAGGGUGGAGGGCGUGGGACCAAGUUCCUUAGAUAAGGCUGUGGCCCCAUGUGAUUCAUCCAGGUGGCGCUAGGAGGGAUCUUCGCCGCAGAGGGCAUUCGAGAGAUGACAACUCUAGACAUCCAUGCAACUUCUGUUCUUGUGCUCCUGCUGUUUUCAAAUUCCACAGUCACAGACUGCACCCUGGAAAACUCAGGACACCCUAGAGUGAACUGCUCUGAAGAACAAAGUUGCUACUUGCUUGCUACCUCUGGUUGCUACCCCUGGUUGUGUUUGGUUGCCACAUAAUGAAAUGAUUUUCCUUCCCUCUUUUAUUUCCUUUCUUUCUUUUUUUUCUGCUACAAAUGGAAAAAUAGUUUGAUCACCUUGAAUCUUUUCACCCUUGGUAUUCUCCCCCUUCACACCCGAGCACCGCCCCUUGAUAAAUGAGAACACGUGUACUGAAAUCGCAGACUUCACCCUCCAGACUCAUCGUCCUCAUGCUCUCAGGGGGGACAUGUUUCCUUUCAAACCUCCAGAAUAAAUUCAUCACAGCAGGAAGAAGAUUGUUUUUCUUAAAAAAAAUCAAAUCCUGUAUCACAAUUAUUUCAUUUCAGAGGGAAAAUGCUCCCCUUCCAUCUGAAACUUUCUUCUCUCCAGCUCUGCAGUCUUUGACCGUGGCGAUCCGGCACCCUCGGCCCGGCUGCUUUUGCAAAGUCCACACUGAUUCAUUAUUUCAGAGAGCCAAAGGGUGACACAUGCAUAUUUUGAAUAUUACCCUGUAUGUAGAUCUGCCUCUGGCUUGACUUAGGGGCUUCUAACUGCCUGAUGUAUUGGCACUCGCAUGCUUUCAAUGGUGUUUGCAUUUAAAAAAUCAUCUUCAAUUCUUUCAUUUGGAGGGUGAACUUUCUGAAAAGGAUGCUGGGAACCAUGUUAUUUCAGUGUUAUUUCUCUACUAUACCAGCCCCUUUGCAAGCAAACCCCUUUUUCCUUAAUGACAACACACAGUGACAAAUGCCCAGUGCUGUAAACGUGAAGCUCCUUGGUUUGACUGAGACGGUCUGUAGCUGACAUCGAGAAGCAGGACAUCUUCCUGAACCAAAACACCUACUCAAGAACUCCUAUAAACUUCCUUACGCUUUGUUUUAAGGAAAACCGCCUGACAAGAAGCAUACUUGCUCCUCGCUGCCAGGCAUCUUUCUGUUUAUGUAGCCUUUGUUUACAUGUAUCCCCUGUUAAUAACAAUCAAUAUUUAACAGAUGCACUCAGGCA